rnacentral:rRNA from 1 species
GCCGGUGACAAACCGGAGGAAGGUGGGGAUGACGUCAAGUCAUCAUGGCCCUUAUGGCCAGGGCUACACACGUGCUACAAUGGGCGGUACAAAGGGUUGCCAACCCGCGAGGGGGAGCCAAUCCCAAAAAGCCGUUCGUAGUCCGGAUCGGAGUCUGCAACUCGACUCCGUGAAGUCGGAAUCGCUAGUAAUCGCAGAUCAGCAUUGCUGCGGUGAAUACGUUCCCGGGUCUUGUACACACCGCCCGUCACACCAUGGAAGUUGGUUGCACCAGAAGUAGGUAGCCUAACCGCAAGGAGGGCGCUUACCACGGUGUGGCCAAUGACUGGGGUGAAGUCGUAACAAGGUAA